AAAAACGAACAUAUGCUUAGAAACUUUGAGACAUAUACAGUUUUGUACGAAUAAAUGAAACUAGUAUAGAUAUACUACUAGUAAUUGGCUAAGUUUCUAUCUGACCUUUUGUUUCGGGGAAUUCAAGACUAUAUUAGCAGAUUAGUGGUUACCUCCUUGUUCUCUUUCAGAAUUUCCCAAAAAUUUCUUACAGAAUUGGCUUUGUGACCCAAGAUGAUGUGCUGUUUCCUCAGCUGAGUGUUGAAGAAACAUUGGUUUUCGCGGCAUAUUUGAGGGUUCCUAGCAGCAUGAGUAGGAAACAGAAGUACCAAAGGGUUGAAAUGAUUAUCAAAGAACUUGGCCUUGAAAGACAAGAAGAACAAUAAUCACUAUUAUUCACAAGCCUUUAAGCAGCAUGUUUCAUAUGUUCGACAAAAUGCUUUUGUAUCAGAAGGAUAUCCUAUAUAUUAUGGCAAAGCUUGGGAAACAAUGGACUACUUCUCUUCUUCAAUGUUUAAUCCUGAGAUACCAAUGAAUCCAGCAGAAUUCUUGCUUGAUCUUGCUACUGGAUAAGUAAAUGACAUUAGUGUCCCUGAUGAGGUGAAAAGAGAUAACAGCUCACCUACCUCUGACAAGGCUGUUCUUAAAGUAUGCUAUUCCCGUAAAACUUUUCUGCUAUAUUCUUCUUUUUUGAAGAACUCAUAAUACGCGGUUUUCUCGUAAUAAUCUCAAUUAAGUAUGCAUCUUCCUAAAAAUGAUGGUGAAUUUCUCCUUUUCUUGGAGUAAUAUAGAUACUGAUAACAUGGUUUGUUUUUCGGUCAUAUGGUUAUGUAGUAUAUACAGGUGAAGUAAACAAGCUACUGGAGCCAAAAGAAAAUGAAGAAAAUCAUCAAUUGACAAAGAUGAGAAGAUAAGUGGUUACCUCCUUGUUCACUUUCUUGCUCUUGGUUGCGAAGUGCUUCAUUUAGGUGUUCUUGUAUCUUGCCAUUAUGAGCAUGCACAAAAUCUCCCAAAUCUACAUCUUCUUCUUCUCCUUGUUCCAAAUCAAUUUCGUCUAAGCUCAUAUAAUUCUCAUAUUCUCCUCUGAGGUGUGUUGAAUUGAAUUUCCCUUACUGCAUUUGCUCUCGAAGUUCUUUUUCUCUUAUUAUGGCUUUAAGUCUCAUAUAAGCACCAAGUGAACCAGGAGAAAACAUUGAUUUCUUAUGCACCGUCUUUGUAUGGACACCAAUGUCACCAUCAUUUUGUUUUGGGCCAUGGGACAAGGAUCUACUCUCCACAAUAGAGUUGCUUAUGUUCAACUGAGGAUUUUCCAAACUAGAUGACCUUUGAUUUUGAUUAGAUUGCAUUGAUACUCUUUGUUGUUGCGUGGUUUUCAUUGAAUCCAAUUAAGGUCGCUUUCUACUUCGUGUUGUAAAUUUCCCUUGUGAUUCCUCCUCUAUAUGUUCAUUUUUCGAGCUUGGAUGACACCUUUUCACUAGACUUGCCAUUCCUAUUUAAGAGUCACUUGCACUGUCUUUAAGCAUAGCAAGACUUAUCUUUUGCGCUAAAAUCUGUAAAAUGGAAAACCAUAUUAAUUUCAGGAAUGUACCAAGUUAGUCAAAAACUAUAAUUCACAAAUUAAGUACCACCUUUUUAGAUUGAGACCUCAAUGUUAUGCACUUUUCCUGACACAAUGCAUGUAUUUGGAGAUUUGAAGACCAACUCAGUGACUGGGGUCUGAACCGGUUAUUGCAACACAUAAUCAUCUUAUUUGAGUCACUUUGAGUCCCUUGAAAUAAGCACGAGAGUGCUCCUUAUUGGAUCAAAUGACAUGACUUAAGUUGCUGCUAGUAUAACACAGGCAUUGCAAAUUCAAAAAUGAAAUAGACUACAUUAAAUAGUACUAAACAUGUAAGAGUUUCUAUUUUUACUUUUAAAUAAAUCUCUUGGGUAUUAUACUGAUUUACCACCUUAAGUGUUACUACAACAUGGAAUUGUUAUUGAGAUAUAACCUUUUCCAGCUCUAGUAUUUUGGUUCGUCACCCAGCUCCGGUCAUUCAACAAUUAAUAAGAAAUACAGUGCUUCAUACAACAAAA